rnacentral:rRNA from 1 species
AGUGGGGAAUAUUGGGCAAUGGGGGGAACCCUGACCCAGCAACGCCGCGUGAGGGAAGAAGGUUUUCGGAUUGUAAACCUCUGUUCUUGGAGAAGAGUGUAAGACGGUAUCCAAGGAGGAAGCCCCGGCUAACUACGUGCCAGCAGCCGCGGUAAUACGUAGGGGGCGAGCGUUGUCCGGAAUGAUUGGGCGUAAAGGGCGCGCAGGCGGCCCGACAAGUCAGUAGUGGAAGUCCAUUUUUCAAGGGUGGAAGUGCUAUUGAAACUGUAGGGCUUGAGUGCGGGAGAGGUUAUCGGAAUUCCCGGUGUAGCGGUGAAAUGCGUAGAGAUCGGGAGGAACACCAGUGGCGAAGGCGGGUAACUGGACCGCAACUGACGCUGAGGCGCGAAAGUGUGGGGAGCAAACAGGAUUAGAUACCCUGGUAGUCCACACGGUAAACGAUGAAUGCUAGGUGUAGGGGGUAUCGACCCCUUCUGUGCCGCAGUAAACACAGUAAGCAUUCCGCCUGGGGAGUACGGUCGCAAGAUUAAAACUCAAAGGAAUUGACGGGGGCCCGCACAAGCAGCGGAGCAUGUGGUUUAAUUCGAAGCAACGCGAAGAACCUUACCAGGUCUUGACAUCCAGGUAAAGCCGCAGAGAUGCGGUGUGUGCUUGCACGAUCUGAGACAGGUGGUGCAUGGUUGUCGUCAGCUCGUGUCGUGAGAUGUUGGGUUAAGUCCCGCAACGAGCGCAACCCUUGCCGAUAGUUACUAACGGGUAGAGCCGAGGACUUUAUCGGGACCGCCGGGGACAACUCGGAGGAAGGUGGGGACGACGUCAAAUCAUCAUGCCCCUUAUGACCUGGGCUACACACGUGCUACAAUGGCCGAGACAGAGAGAUGCGAAGGCGCGAGCCGGAGCGGACCUCAGAAAAGCGGUCACAGUUCGGAUUGCGGGCUGCAACCCGCCCGCAUGAAGCAGGAGUUGCUAGUAAUCGCGAAUCAGCAUGUCGCGGUGAAUACGUUCCCGGGCCUUGUACACACCGCCCGUCACACCAUGGGAGUUGGUAGCACCCGAAGGCAGAGAGGUAACCGCAAGGGGCCAUCUGACGAAGGUGAGAUCAAUGACUGGGGUG